AUCCAGACUCCUACGGGAGGCAGCAGUGAGGAAUAUUGGUCAAUGGGCGAGAGCCUGAACCAGCCAAGUCGCGUGAGGGAGUACUGCCCUAUGGGUUGUAAACCUCUUUUGUCAGGGAGCAACGCCGGCUACGUGUAGCCGGACUGAGAGUACCUGAAGAAAAAGCAUCGGCUAACUCCGUGCCAGCAGCCGCGGUAAUACGGAGGAUGCGAGCGUUAUCCGGAUUUAUUGGGUUUAAAGGGUGCGCAGGCGGAUUUUUAAGUCAGCGGUAAAAUCGUGGGGCUCAACCCCAUCCAGCCGUUGAAACUGGGGAUCUAGAGUGUGCGAGAGGUAUGCGGAAUGCGUGGUGUAGCGGUGAAAUGCAUAGAUAUCACGCAGAACCCCGAUUGCGAAGGCAGCAUACCGGUGCACAACUGACGCUCAGGCACGAAAGCGUGGGUAUCGAACAGGAUUAGAUACCCGGGUACA
rnacentral:rRNA from 1 species